rnacentral:rRNA from 1 species
GACGAACGCUGGCGGCGUGCCUAAUACAUGCAAGUUGAGCGCUGAAGGUUGGUACUUGUACCGACUGGAUGAGCAGCGAACGGGUGAGUAACGCGUGGGGAAUCUGCCUUUGAGCGGGGGACAACAUUUGGAAACGAAUGCUAAUACCGCAUAAAAACUUUAAACACAAGUUUUAAGUUUGAAAGAUGCAAUUGCAUCACUCAAAGAUGAUCCCGCGUUGUAUUAGCUAGUUGGUGAGGUAAAGGCUCACCAAGGCGAUGAUACAUAGCCGACCUGAGAGGGUGAUCGGCCACAUUGGGACUGAGACACGGCCCAAACUCCUACGGGAGGCAGCAGUAGGGAAUCUUCGGCAAUGGACGAAAGUCUGACCGAGCAACGCCGCGUGAGUGAAGAAGGUUUUCGGAUCGUAAAACUCUGUUGGUAGAGAGGAACGUUGGUGAGAGUGGAAAGCUCAUCAAGUGACGGUAACUACCCAGAAAGGGACGGCUAACUACGUGCCAGCAGCCGCGGUAAUACGUAGGUCCCGAGCGUUGUCCGGAUUUAUUGGGCGUAAAGCGAGCGCAGGUGGUUUAUUAAGUCUGGUGUAAAAGGCAGUGGCUCAACCAUUGUAUGCAUUGGAAACUGGUAGACUUGAGUGCAGGGGAGGAGAGUGGAAUUCCAUGUGUAGCGGUGAAAUGCGUAGAUAUAUGGAGGAACACCGGUGGCGAAAGCGGCUCUCUGGCCUGUAACUGACACUGAGGCUCGAAAGCGUGGGGAGCAAACAGGAUUAGAUACCCUGGUAGUCCACGCCGUAAACGAUGAGUGCUAGAUGUAGGGAGCUAUAAGUUCUCUGUAUCGCAGCUAACGCAAUAAGCACUCCGCCUGGGGAGUACGACCGCAAGGUUGAAACUCAAAGGAAUUGACGGGGGCCCGCACAAGCGGUGGAGCAUGUGGUUUAAUUCGAAGCAACGCGAAGAACCUUACCAGGUCUUGACAUACUCGUGCUAUUCCUAGAGAUAGGAAGUUCCUUCGGGACACGGGAUACAGGUGGUGCAUGGUUGUCGUCAGCUCGUGUCGUGAGAUGUUGGGUUAAGUCCCGCAACGAGCGCAACCCUUGUCUUUAGUUGCCAUCAUUAAGUUGGGCACUCUAAAGAGACUGCCGGUGACAAACCGGAGGAAGGUGGGGAUGACGUCAAGUCACCAUGCCCCUUAUGACCUGGGCUACACACGUGCUACAAUGGGCAGUACAACGAGAAGCGAACCCGCGAGGGCAAGCAGAUCUCUUAAAGCUGUUCUCAGUUCGGACUGCAGGCUGCAACUCGCCUGCACGAAGCUGGAAUCGCUAGUAAUCGCGGAUCAGCACGCCGCGGUGAAUACGUUCCCGGGCCUUGUACACACCGCCCGUCACACCAUGGAAGUCUGCAAUGCCCAAAGUCGGUGGGAUAACCUUUAUAGGAGUCAGCCGCCUAAGGCAGGGCAGAUGACUGGGGUGAAG